CCCUGCAAUAGGAAAAUUGGAGCACCUCCUGAGUCCCUGAUCUUAGCCUCUGGGGGUCGCUUAAGGUACUUCACGGCCAAACACUGGCUCCGCCUCGCCUCACCCCCACUGACCAGGAAGCUGCUGCUCAGCAGGAGGGCCCCAAUGCAUGCAAAUCUCUAGAGAAAAAACCCAGGCCUUGAGGAAGUGCGGGGGUGGGGUGGGGGUAUUGUAUAAUUUAUCAGGCUGCUGACUUCCUUCUUGGAGGAAGAAGCGGAGGAUUCGGGGUCACACUGUCACCGAUUAGGGGUAAAGAACGGUCAAACUGGACCCCGCACCCACCCCCAGCACCUAUGGGACUGUCAAAAGCCUUACAGGUCCCUAAUAGACCCCUUGGACCAGAGGACCCAGUACCCCUAAGAGCUGAGACCGUCACCAUACUCAGGGGCAGUUGGUGUAAAGCUGGAAACUUAGCAAUGUUGCAGUGUUCCUGUGGCUCUGGUGUGAUGUGCUGAAGCUCCCCCAGGCCCCCAGUCAGAAGUGGUAGAAGGCUGAAAAUUCAACUGUGGUAUAUCUCCAAGAUGGGUGGUGUUAGGGUCAAGAGAUUAUGGGACUGGCAUGGCUUUAAAGAGAACACUCACACACACCCCCCGACACUAUGAGGUACCCUUUGCCUCAGUCCUCUGCUGGAAAGAUGGCUGUCAUCAAAUACACUCUGGACUUUGGACCAGGUCCUUAAGCCAAAAUAAACAUACUUUCUUUAUGACUCA